rnacentral:rRNA from 3 species
GAUGAACGCUGGCGGCGUGCUUAACACAUGCAAGUCGAACGAUGAACCCCGCUUGCGGGGGGAUUAGUGGCGAACGGGUGAGUAACACGUGAGUAACCUGCCCUUAACUCUGGGAUAAGCCUUGGAAACGGGGUCUAAUACUGGAUAUUGACUUUUCCUCGCAUGGGGAUUGGUUGAAAGAUUUAUUGGUUUUGGAUGGACUCGCGGCCUAUCAGCUUGUUGGUGAGGUAAUGGCUCACCAAGGCGACGACGGGUAGCCGGCCUGAGAGGGUGACCGGCCACACUGGGACUGAGACACGGCCCAGACUCCUACGGGAGGCAGCAGUGGGGAAUAUUGCACAAUGGGCGAAAGCCUGAUGCAGCGACGCCGCGUGAGGGAUGACGGCCUUCGGGUUGUAAACCUCUUUCAGUAGGGAACAAGGCCAGUGUUUAG